AAAAGCAGGGAAGAAAAGUGAUUCCCCUAGCAUGCACAUUCUCUUUGCAGCACUGGAGAAGAAUUCUCAAAAGGUUAACAGUCCCUAUCGAAAUCUGACAUGGCACAUCUUUUUUUUUUUUUUCUGCUACAGCAGGAGAAACGUGCUACAGGCAUCUGUCACCAAGGCCAGAGCAACUUCCCAGUGUGGCAACUGUACAGACAGCUUCAGAAUGAGAUUUUAGAAAUUACAAAAUUCUUCAAGAAGAAAAGACGUCUUCAUAGAAGAAAAGGCAAGAGAAGCCUACAAAAGUAAUAUAAAGCAUUCCUCUUUGCACCCCAUAAAAAUCCAUUCCCUGAUCCCUCUUGGUUGAUAGAAGAGGAAAUAUAAUACUGACAAAAAUACAACUUCUGACAAGAUAUUUUAUUUGGCUUACCUCUCCCCCAGGUCUUGCUAACACUGCUGUUUGAACGUGGAGCAAUGUUAAUAUCAGGUAGCUGACAAACAUUAUUACCCAAAGUUAGAACUACCCUAGAGGAGAACUCCGUCUGCCAAGUGCUAACAGCUAGCAGAUGCACUUGUGUCUCGGGAUUCCAGCCCUGGAGUUCCGCUAGGCACCGCGCUGGUUCCCUCGGCUCUCCCUCACUGUACUACCCGGCGCUUCGAGCUCAGCCUCUGCUCUGAAGAAAACUGAGUCUGGAGGAAUACAAACCCCAGCCAGAGGAUGUCUCUAUCAUUCCUACCCAGGUAGGGACUUCUACUCUUGGAAAAAUGCCUCCCUUUUUCUGAGAAACAGAGCAGAUCAUCACAUCACUUUCCUGAGAACAGUGGAUCCUAUAUUUAAUGGUUUAAAGCUGACAGAUGAAAGAUUCCAAGCUUUAUCUUCUCUUCCAGGACACCACCUGUAUCCCAUUUCAGUGGAGAGUGCAUACUUCAUUCAGAAAUGCUAACCAUGACUAAGCAUUCAGCUUCCCUGUUUCCUGUGGUCCAUGCCCCAGAGUGUCUUCACUUGAUCAAAAACCCUUGGCGGGCCCAGGAUAAGGGCUCCAUCAUAAAAGCUAGGGCUCUGACUAUAGGCUUGAUUUGGGGUAUUUACACAGAGCAUGUGUCCUAGGUCAUUACAU